rnacentral:rRNA from 1 species
ACUGCUCAGUAACACGUAGUCAGCAUGCCCAAAGGACGUGGAUAACCUCGGGAAACUGAGGAUAAACCGCGAUAGGCCAAGGUUUCUGGAAUGAGCCAUGGCCGAAAUCUAUAUGGCCUUUGGAUUGGACUGCGGCCGAUCAGGCUGUUGGUGAGGUAAUGGCCCACCAAACCUGUAACCGGUACGGGCUUUGAGAGAAGGAGCCCGGAGGUGGGCACUGAGACAAGGGCCCAGGCCCUACGGGGCGCAGCAGUCGCGAAAACUUUGCAAUACACGAAAGUGUGACAGGGCUAUCCCGAGUGCCAUCCGCUGAGGAAGGCUUUUACCCAGUGUAGAAAGCUGGGAGAAUAAGGAGAGGGCAAGACUGGUGUCAGCCGCCGCGGUAAUACCAGCUCUCCGAGUGGUGUGGAUGUUUAUUGGGCCUAAAGCAUCCGUAGCUGGCUGGGCAAGUCCCCUGUUAAAUCCACCGAUUCAAUCGUUGGUGUGCGGGGGAUACUGUUCGGCUAGGGGACGGGAGAGGCCGACGGUAUUUUCGGGGUAGGGGUGAAAUCCUAUAAUCCCGGGAAGACCACCAGUGGCGAAGGCUGUCGGCUAGAACGCGCCCAACGGUGAGGGAUGAAAGCUGGGGGAGCGAACCGGAUUAGAUACCCGGGUAGUCCCAGCUGUAAACGAUGCAGGCUAGGUGUUUGGGCGGCCACGUGCCGCUCUAGUGCCGCAAAGAAGUUGUUAAGCCUGCCGCCUGGGGAGUACGGCCGCAAGGCUGAAACUUAAAGGAAUUGGCGGGGGAGCAC